UACGGAGGGAGCUAGCGUUAUUCGGAAUUACUGGGCGUAAAGCGCACGUAGGCGGCUUUGUAAGUUAGAGGUGAAAGCCUGGAGCUCAACUCCAGAAUUGCCUUUAAGACUGCAUCGCUUGAAUCCAGGAGAGGUGAGUGGAAUUCCGAGUGUAGAGGUGAAAUUCGUAGAUAUUCGGAAGAACACCAGUGGCGAAGGCGGCUCACUGGACUGGUAUUGACGCUGAGGUGCGUAAGCUAGGGUAGCAAACGGG
rnacentral:rRNA from 1 species